GACGAACGCUGGCGGCGUGCUUAACACAUGCAAGUCGAACGGGCCUUGUCCCCUUUUUUUUUGGGGGUGGGGUUAGUGGCGAACGGGUGAGUAACACGUGAGUAACCUGCCCCUCACUUCUGGAUAACCGCUUGAAAGGGUGGCUAAUACGGGGUGUUCUGGCCUGCUCGCAUGGGUGGGUUUGGAAAGAUUCGACCGGUUUUGGUUGUUUUGGUGGGGGAUGGGCUCGCGGCCUAUCAGCUUGUUGGGGGGGUGAUGGCCUGCCAAGGCUUUGACGGGUGGCCGGCCUGAGAGGGUGGGCGGUCACACUGGGACUGAGACACGGCCCAGACUCCUACGGGAGGCAGCAGUAGGGAAUAUUGCACAAUGGGCGCAAGCCUGAUGCAGCGACGCCGCGUGAGGGAUGGAGGCCGUCGGGUUGUGAACCUCUUUCGCCAGUGAAGAAGGUCCUGCUCUUUGUGGUGGGGUUGACGGUAGCUGGGUUAAUGAAGCGCCGGCUAACUACGUG
rnacentral:rRNA from 1 species